GUUCUACAAAAGGAACCUUGUGAAUGUAGUCAGACACACAAGUAUCUUGUUUGGAUGAUUCUGGACAGUCUCAGUAUUCAGCUUCAUCAUGGCUGGACGCCUGUUGUUUGUCAUCCUCAUGUGUUCCUGUCAUGAGAUUCAAGUUCAAGCCCUUCCUCCACCUACACUGACAGUGAAUCCACCAGUGAUCACAGAGAGAGACUCAGUUACAUUGAACUGUCAGACUCCAUCGUAUGUUUCUGUGUCUCACUGUUAUUUCAACACAGUGAAAAGACAAACUCUUGGCGUCCUUUCUUGUCUGAAGACGCUGACAGGGACUGAGCUGCUGCACAUGACACAUCAGACUUUACCUGCUGUGGUCAAAGUGAAAUGUUUUUAUGGUGUGAAGUUUGGAGAUUUAGAUUUUCCAUCUCCACACAGUGACAUGUCCACCAUCACCAUAAACACUUCUCUUCCACCUACACUGACAGUGAAUCCACCGGUGAUCACAGAGAGAGACUCAGUCACAUUGAACUGUCAGACUCCAUCGUCUGUUUCUGUGUCUCAUUGUUUUUUCUACGCUCUGGGGUCAGAAACAAAAGGCUUUUCGUGUCUUAGGACACUGACAGGGACUGAGCUGCUGUUGAUGGCACAUCAGACUUUACCUGCUGUGGUUAAAGUGAAAUGUUAUUACACUGUAAAGCUUGGAGAUUUAGAUUCUCCAUCUCCACACAGUGACAUAUCCUCCAUCACCAUAAACAGUCAGAAACCACUGAUGAGUGUUCAACAUUUUCAUGGCGACCACAUUAUCUUCACUUGCUCACUGCCUGGAUCUGCAAAACAAGAUACAAGAUGUAACCUGUACUUUGGAGAAACAAGUCGUCCAGUUCAAACAACAACCAUCUGGAAGGAAAGAUCCUCAUCUAAACAGUGGUUCUGCCAGUUUACUGUCACAAUAGAUGAUUUUCUGAGACACUUGUGUUUCAUUCAACUAAAGGAUGCCAGCUGUGAUUACAGUUUGGGAAGUGAACUCAACACUUUGUCUCCUCAUAGUGAUGGAUACAGUUUGACAGAUAUUGUGGAAAAAGAAUCACACACAACCUGCAUGAAAUCAGCAUUCACUGCGACCACAGGUUUUCCUGUUAUCAGGCCUCAUUCUUCCACUCCUGCAACUCCUGUAAAACCAAGAUCAGAUAAUACGGAAACAGAGUCACACACAUUGCAGACUAUGCCAGUAUUUACUAUGACCACAGUUUUUCAUUCAACAGGUCUGACUGGUAGCAGACCUCGUGCUUCAACUCCUGUAACUCCUGGAAAAGGUCGGACUGUUGGCAAACGAAGGAAUGCCAAGGAUCGUUUUACCUCUACUUCCUUAACACCAGUGAAACCAGCAUCAGUUACUGCUGAUCUCAGCACUACAUUUAGUGUGACCUCUGCUACCAAAACACCCAGGAAUCUGACAUCAGGGGAUAAAACUGCAGAAAUGGGAAUAUGGACGUUGGUAGCAGUGGCAAGUGGUUGUGGAAUAAUUGUGUGUGUCAUCUUCAUGGGACUUCUCUGCACCAAAAGAUGUGAAUGUUGCUCUCAGAAGAGGUCACAAGCCAGCAUCACUGCUCAGGUGAGCAGAAGAGCAUCACUGCACAACAUGUGAUCAUUGCACAGCCUUGAGGUGGAUGGACUACAACAGCAGGAGACCAUGUUGGGUUCCCACUCGUGUCAUGCCAGAACAGUAACCAUGAAUGUGCAGUUGACAAAUCUGCAGAAAUCAUGUCAACAUGGACCAGAAUCUCAAAAGAAUGUUUCAUCUUCUACAUCUUCUGGAGUCCAUGAGUUUUAGAGGCCCUACCUAGUAUUAGUAUAAUGUUCUCAUUAAGUGCUCAUAAGUGCUCACUGAGUGUACAAUAUGUGUUGCAUUUAUAUUUUUGUCAUUUAGUACACUGAGGUGUGUUUUGCCUUCUGUUGCAGAUGACUUUAUGGCCAUGAAACAUUUUGACCGUGAAGAACUGCUACGUGCAGGUAAUGAUAAAUCCUACUACAGUGUCAUCACCUCAGUGCCUGGUGCUGAUGGUCCU